UAGUAAAAUUUAACAUUACUUACAAAUUGCUGUUUUGCUUACAAAAAAACUCAUUUUAAUCAUGAAGAUUUUCUUUGUUUUAUUUUUUAUUGGUGUAACAUUUGCACAUUGCUCCGAUAAUACACGUUGUAGAACUGAUUGUCUCUACGUAAAUUUCGAUUAUUUGUUGCGUCGUUACCAGUCGGUUCAAGGUAUUCAGAAUUGCGUUGCCGCCAUUCCGAGCACAGAGAAAAUCCACGAAAUUGUCUACAACAUUGGAGACUAUGGAAGCGACAUGCACACCAAUGGAAUGUACGUCCACGAUUGUGUCCGCACCGAGUUCAACUUCCGGGAUCUCCGCAGUUGCCAGAAACCAAUCAUUGAAUUGAUCGAAAUGGGCGCUGGAAGAAUGCUUGAGUUCUUUAAUCAGCUGCGUGACGAAAUUAAAGUCGUGGGCAACAGUUCGCAAAUUACGUGCGUCAAUCGUCAAACGCAGGGCCCGAUGACUCACUUCAAGGCAGCCUUGGAGUGUUAAGAUAUAUAUUAAAUCUGUUUUGAAUUUUUCAUUAUGCAAAAGAGAAAAAAUACUGUUGAGGGAAAAUAA